rnacentral:tRNA from 1 species
CGGGAAAUCACUAAGUUGGUUAGAGUGCUGGUCCGUCACGCCAGAAGUCGCGGGUUCGAACCCCUCCCGG